rnacentral:rRNA from 1 species
GACGAACGCUGGCGGCGUGCCUAACACAUGCAAGUCGAGCGGAGACAGUGAGUAGCUUGCUACGAACUGUUUUAGCGGCGGACGGGUGAGUAACGCGUGAGCAACCUUUCCCAGACAGGGGAAUAACACACCGAAAGGUGUACUAAUACCGCAUAAGACCACGGUUUCACAUGGAACUGAGGUAAAAGAUUUAUCGGUUUGGGGUGGGCUCGCGUCCGAUUAGGUAGUUGGUGAGGUAACGGCCCACCAAGCCGACGAUCGGUAGCCGACCUGAGAGGGUGAUCGGCCACAUUGGGACUGAGACACGGCCCAAACUCCUACGGGAGGCAGCAGUGGGGAAUAUUGGGCAAUGGAGGAAACUCUGACCCAGCAACGCCGCGUGGAGGAAGAAGAUUUUCGGAUCGUAAACUCCUGUCCUUGGAGACGAGUAGAAGACGGUAUCCAAGGAGGAAGCCCCGGCU